AUGCGCAUUGGUUACGUGCUUAUAUGAAACCGCAUCUGUUCCGCAGUACUCUCCGUCGCAAUUGACCAUCGGAGGUUGUCGACGACCGCCCGGCAGACGAGAACAAUAGACGAACGACUGGCACGCACGCUGAACAGCCGUAACAUAGAAGGCCAACCACAGAAACCUCCACGAACAUCAGUCGUGUGGAAAAACAAAGCCUUCCAUACGGAAGGCUUUGUUUUAUAUUCACAGCUAUUCCAUCCACGGUGGGAGGCGCACAGCGGUUCUAUUCGUGACGUGCAUCCGGUCGAGGCGGCAACUGCUGCAAACGGAGCCGAGGUAGCCAAUCCUCCGGAUUGGUGGCUCGAUCGAGGGAGUUUCGGGCGUUCCGAUCGCGGGCCAAAACCACAUCGCCCUGGGAAUCAGACACGGGCCGAGCCGAGCUGAGUAAUCAUCCGUGACGGAAGCGAAGUCCACCGGCGGAACGCUGGUGCAUCGGGAGAACGUGUAGGGAGGUGCCGUCAAUGAUGAUGGCCGCGAACGGAGCAGCAUUACGGUAGGGGGCGCCCCAAGUAGUGAGUACCAAAAUGUAAUUUAGUAUGUAAGCAGAAUACCAUAGAGAAAUCAGAGCUAGGAGAAAGGAGUAGAGCAGGAUGAGAAAGGCCGAAGGCCGCAAGAUAGCUCCUAAAUAAACAUUAUACACCAUGAUAUGUUUUGUGUUGGAU